rnacentral:lncRNA from 1 species
ACCUGAGAAGUAUCUAUCAUUUAACCUUCCACAGAGAGAGAUAAGCAAAAAAUGGAAAGGUUAGAGCUUAACGUGACCAGGUAUUUCUUAAAACUUUUACUAAUUUUACAUACUUAAAAGCAACGUAACGAGUGUAAUGUAUCAAAUUUUCUGUAGUUAAAAACGUCAGAAAAUAUUUUUAUAAAAUCAUAAUCAAUGUAAGAGUAUUGCAAAUUGUUCUUGUAAACGAUUUCUCCUAGUGCUAUAUAGUUUAUCAACGGUGAUAUCUGUUAAGUUUGGAACUUAAGCUUCGUACCACUGCAGCAUGCAACCCGAUCCCAACAUAUCAUUACGGCGUGCAAUUCGAUCUCAACAUAAUACCAUUUCGUCAUGCAAUCCGACCAAAUCACAAUAUCAUCAAUAGUCAAUAUCUGCUCUUCAGUGUCCACGAUGCCAAAAUUCUCAUCUUUUCGCAAUAUUCUAACUCCUCAGCUCGUGAAUAUAUGUAUGAAAUGAAGCAAUAUAUAUAAAUAAGAGGCACCAGAUCAUAACAAUAUGUUACUUUACUUCCUCAAUUUUUUUAAACAGUAAUGUUCGAAUCAAUUUGCAACCAUAAGUAUAUCCACUUUUGCAGAAGUGCAAGGAAUAAAGUUAAUUAUCUGCAAAGUGAGUCUUGAUAAAUCACAACACUUCUUAAAUUCAGGUAGUAAAAAUAAACUUAUCAAAUAAACCCGACCUAAUUAAUCUCUUUUCUAAGUUUUAAUUAUAAACAUUUUUAAACACAUACAUUGAUAUUAGGAUACCGUGAUUUAGCCAUCAAGGUUUUAUAUCUGCCUUGAGAAUGACACUGAGAAAAAUAAGAAUGAGAGGUCGAGGCAAAAAAAUCAACUCUCUAGACUUUGAUAUCGUAUAUUGGUCAAAAUGAAGCAACCCGCAAUCAACUAUCAGUGAACAGAAGUUAAACUCUUACCAUAUAUAUGUUUUGUCUGUCUGCAAAUUUAGAAAUGGUACUCUCUUGUUAAACCUCUUUUACUGAUCCUAAAUUUCCUGCUACUCAAAAGUAUGGCAACAUUCCUUUUCAUAUGCUCCCGAGUAACUCGUCUGAAGAGACAUAAAGCAAGUCGGAUCUCUAAAGAACAAAACUGAAACCCCACAAAUACCAAAGUAUGCCAUACGAAAUGCAAUCUGCCAAGUGGAGUGAAAGAAAAAACUAUCAGUUCCAAC